GGUCUCUUCUUGAGUUCGUUGGUCGGCGGAGGAGGAGGCGACCGAGCAGAUUACGGUGAUGGUGGGGACGACGGAGGAGAGCGUGUCCGAGGAGACGUUGGAGUCGAUGGAGAAGGUGACGGGGAACCAUGGAGGAGCGCGACCUCCUAUCGGUCGCCUACGAGAACGUCGUCGGCACCAUCCGCCCCUCGAAUCGUCUCCUUCAUGAAGCAGAAGGAUCAGAGUUCGGUAAUGGGUCGGCGUCGCCGGAUCCAUGGCUACUGAGCCAAGAUCCAGACCGAGCUUGGCAUCCUCUGCCUCGGCGCUGGUUCGAGGUUUACAAUGUCAUGAAGUGCCACGACCGACGCCUACCCGGCCGUGUUCAAGAUCGGCUUCGGCAAUAGCUACGCCGCCUACAGAUCCGUCCAGGGCGAGAUAAGGCCAUGCUGAAUCUUGGGGACAUUGGGAUGUCGAUCUGGCAGUCGCUUGUGAACCUUGCAAUAAGAUGAUGCUCAAGAUGACCGCCUAAGCAUCCAAUCACGUUGAGGCUGUGGCACAACUUUAAGGUGUUACAUCACUCUGCUGUCAGAUCCGUUGAUCAUUCAGGAGAAGCACAUCUUUAAGGCAUUUUACGGAGCAAUUGCAGGGCUGGAUACCCUAAGAGAGGAAUGCUAAGUUAUGUUUCAUCGUGCCAGCACUGGAAGAAUCCAAUUCAUUGUGGUGGAUGUGUUUUCAAUGGGAGGAUGGAGGAAAUGAGAUUAAAUAACCAACCAAACGUGAAACAAACAGUAGUUAUGAUUAGUAGUGUCAACCUGGUGACGUUGGUUUCGACAAUACCAGAAAUGGAGCAGGCAGUGAUCACCAAAACGUUUACUGAUAACAUCAUAUCAACAGACCUGGUCUCCUUGCUCGAUCAUCGUCAAUGAGAAGAAAGUUUUCCCAAGUGCCAGCGGCAAUAUCACAGUUACCUCAAAAUACCUAAAGGAAUUGUCAGAGCCUGACAGGUAUCUGAUGGUGUACUGUAGAUCGAUAAAUUUAUUGAACUUCAGCAAUCGACUGGAUGCGAUAAACACGUGGACGAAGCUAUAGUUUUGUUCCAUUCUCUGCUCUCCGUCCUGCAUAUAUCUCAGGCCUUCAACUGGAGGCUCCAUGGUUGAUCAAGGCCGUCCUUGUCGUCGUCCACUGCAAGAACGGUCGAUAUUGCUUCAGCCGGCGUCCCCUUGGUGUCGUUUGUGAUCGGACGGGAAGCAUUCGCUGAUAUCCCCCACCGAUCUGGCUCUGCCUUUGCCGACACUAAUCGGCAUGCGACAGAAUUCAGACAAUGAUAACGAAGGCUGUAGGUUCCCAUCAUGCACGGACGUUUGGUACCCGGGGACCAGUCAGAGAGGCGCACGUGUAAGGAGCAGGACGGCUGGAGUGACAGCUAAGUUCCGUAAGUUCUGAAGUUUGGGUCCGAUCCAAUCUAAACACACACGCCAGAGAAAGUGACGGUUGGUCAGCUGCUGCUGCUACGGCCUCAUUUCGCGUCUGCAAAACUCACACCUGUGACAUAGGUUGGGCCUCUCCUACUUUUGGAACAUGCAUAGGUGACCGUGAACCGAGCCUUCCACCCCCCCCGACUGUGGUGGUGGCUCAGUUCGUUUGGGACUGCAGGCGUUGUCACCGGUUGUUGACAGCCAAGCUGGUGUUGCUACUUCCACAUGGGGUAGGAUUGGUAAGUUACCCCUUCUCACUGUGCACCAGGGGCGUAAUUUCUGUGACUUACGAUGGGGUAGGAUUGCUACUUCCACAUGUAGCUUAUUAUUUAGAGUAUUUUUAAAAAAAUUAAAAUAAUUGACAAUUCUCUAUUCAUAUUAAAAAAUAAUAAUAAAAUAAUUUUACUAUUUACCGUUCUUGAUUUUAUACUUGUUUCUUUCAUUUCUUAUAUCUAUGUGAUCAUCACCUAUGCACUUUGUUGUCUAUGUCAUUUGUCGCUCCACCACCACCCCCACCCCAAGUUGAUAGUUGCCCUUUCUUGUCGAAAUGUCGAUCCCUCUUUGGCCCACGCUUGUCAUCAAUUGUCGUUCCCUAAAUUAUACUCUCAACUCAUGUUUCGAUUUCACUCAUUACCCUCUCAACCUUUUUUUAAGGAGGAGAGGAAGAAGAAGAGGGAGAAUAUUUAUGUCUAUUUUAUAAAAAAUAAAUAAAUAUUAAUUUUUUAAAAAAAGAAUAUUAUAAAUAGUAAAAAUAUUAUAAAAAAUAAUAUCUUAUUCGAUGACCUUGGUAUCAUACUUCCAGGACUGUCGAGCCCAUUUGAACAUUCAAUAAAAUAAUGUGACUCUCAAAUAAUAAACAAAGUCCAACAAAAAUAUGUUUUCUCCUGCUUUUUUAGUAAUAAUAUCUAUGUUGGAUUGGACUUUAAUAUUGUUUGAGAUGAUUUUCGUGCGUAAAGCAAUUUUAUCCUCUAUCAUCAUACGGCUGGAGAAGAUUAGUGUCUAGAAAUCCAACUAUUACCGUUGGUCAUUACUCUACUAGUGAGGUAAAUUCAUCGGAGAAACCAUAGUUAGUCUCACAAAAAAAUUGACGUCAAUGUCUUGUUUUGUGGAGAGUUAACGAUCACUUGGGUCACAACAAGACCAUAUGAGUGCACUUCGGAUUGAAUAAUUCAUCUUAGGUUAAUGUUACUGUGGUGAUCUCAUCAGGCUGCGCUGAUCGUGGGGUCUGCAGAGGAGUCUUAAUAUUUCAGUUAAUCUGUAAUCAAUCUCUAAUGAGAUCCUAUUUAGUAUCCUAUUGUUUGGAGAGUAGGAGAGACACGAAAGUGUGCAACUUUUAUACUCUAUUGUCACAAGGUUGCAGAAGAUUAGUAUCUAUAGAUCCAAAUGCUAUUUUCUACCUUUUUGAUCUAAGUGAUAUGCAAAUAUAUCAAUAGAAGCCACAUAUAGUCUUACACCUUAAAGAAUCGACUUCAUAUUACCGUGUCAACUAUACAGACC